GACGAACGCUGGCGGCGUGCCUCAGACAUGCAAGUCGUACGAUUAAAGCUCUCUUCGGAGAGUGUAUAGAGUGGCGCACGGGUGAGUAACACGUAAGUAAUCUACCUUCGAGUGGGGAAUAACAGUCGGAAACGACUGCUAAUACCGCAUAAUGCAGCGGCACCUAAUGGUGACAGUUGUUAAAGCAUUUAUGUGCUUGAAGAGGAGCUUGCGGCAGAUUAGCUAGUUGGUAAGGUAAUGGCUUACCAAGGCGACGAUCUGUAGCCGACCUGAGAGGGUGGUCGGUCACACUGACACUGAAUAACGGGUCAGACUCCUACGGGAGGCAGCAGUCGGGAAUUUUGGGCAAUGGGCGAAAGCCUGACCCAGCAACGCCGCGU
rnacentral:rRNA from 1 species